rnacentral:rRNA from 1 species
CCUACGGGUGGCAGCAGUGGGGAAUAUUGGGCAAUGGGCGCAAGCCUGACCCAGCAACGCCGCGUGACGGAAGAAGGCUUUCGGGUUGUAAACUUCUUUUCUCAGGGACGAAGAAAGUGACGGUACCUGAGGAAUAAGCCACGGCUAACUACGUGCCAGCAGCCGCGGUAAUACGUCGGCGGCAAGCGUUAUCCGGAUUUACUGGGUGUAAAGGGCGUGUAGGCGGGAGCGCAAGUCAGAUGUGAAAACUCAGGGCUCAACCCUGAGCCUGCAUUUGAAACUGUGUUUCUUGAGUGCUGGUGAGGCAAGCGGAAUUCGGGGUGUUGCGGUGAAAUGCGUAGAUAUACGGAAGAACCCCGAUGGCGAAGGCAGAUUGCUGGACAGUAACUGACGCUGAGGCGCGAAAGCGUGGGGAGCAAACAGGAUUAGAUACCCUUGUAGUC